GACGAACGCUGGCGGCGUGCUUAACACAUGCAAGUCGAACGGUGAAAGGGAGCUUGCUCCCUGGAUCAGUGGCGAACGGGUGAGUAACACGUGGGCAACCUGCCCCUGACUCUGGGAUAACGCUUCGAAAGAGGUGCUAAUACCGGAUACGAACUCCCUUGGCAUCUUGGGAGUUGGAAAGUUUUUCGGUCAGGGAUGGGCCCGCGGCCUAUCAGCUUGUUGGUGAGGUAACGGCUCACCAAGGCGACGACGGGUAGCCGGCCUGAGAGGGCGACCGGCCACACUGGGACUGAGACACGGCCCAGACUCCUACGGGAGGCAGCAGUGGGGAAUAUUGCGCAAUGGGCGAAAGCCUGACGCAGCAACGCCGCGUGAGGGAUGACGGCCUUCGGGUUGUAAACCUCUUUCAGCAGGGAAGAAGCGAAAGUGACGGUACCUGCAGAAGAAGCACCGGCUAACUACGUGCCAGCAGCCGCGGUAAGAC
rnacentral:rRNA from 1 species